GCGCUAGUAAUCUAGCCUGGUAGGAUACUGGCUUCCCAUAUUAAUUUGAAAAAAGCCAGAGGCCCGGGUCCAAAUCCCGGCUGGCGCA
rnacentral:tRNA from 1 species